rnacentral:rRNA from 1 species
UACGUAGGGACCGAGCGUUGUCCGGAAUCACUGGGCGUAAAGGGAGCGUAGGCGGCGUGGUAAGUCAGAUGUGAAAUCCCGGGGCUCAACCCCGGAACUGCAUCCGAUACUGCCGUGCUUGAGGGUUGGAGAGGUAGCUGGAAUUCUCGGUGUAGCGGUGAAAUGCGUAGAUAUCAGGAGGAACACCGGUGGCGAAGGCGGCUAUCUGGACAGAAACUGACGCUGAGGCGCGAAAGCUAGGGGAGCAAACAGG